rnacentral:tRNA from 1 species
GCCACGGUAGCUCAGUUGGUAGAGCACAGCUCUGAAAAAGCUGGGGUCAUCGGUUCGAGCCCGAUCUGUGGCACCA